GCUCAGGCAACGACGUCCAUCCACACAAGCAUCUUCAGCUGUCGUCAUCGAGAUAAUAUUAUCACGAGUUUUGGAUUGGUUUCCUGUGUUGGGUACCUACUUGAUGGCACUCNAUAGUCUAAAUGUCCAUUUUCGCCUUUCGUUGUUCCUGUUUGGGAUGAUGCAGGGUGAACCAUGAAGUGAUCUCCGUGUCCCACUCUGCUCACAUUGAUUUGUGCUUGUGGAUUGGUCCAUGGGGAGUUUGCUUGAACUGUUGGAUGCGGUGCAUUGUAUACGGGCAUGAGGACUUGCGUCCUCUCUCUGCCCGAACAAAAGCUUUCAUCGCUUAGUUGCGAACGAUUGCGAUCCCCGUUUCGAGCCUUAUGGCAAGUGCGGUGAUCGCUUCGUUGAGGAAUGC
rnacentral:misc_RNA from 1 species